rnacentral:rRNA from 1 species
CCUACGGGCGGCAGCAGUGAGGAAUAUUGGUCAAUGGACGCAAGUCUGAACCAGCCAUGCCGCGUGCAGGAAGACGGCUCUAUGAGUUGUAAACUGCUUUUGUACGAGGGUAAACGCAGAUACGCGUACCUGUCUGCAAGUAUCGUACGAAUAAGGAUCGGCUAACUCCGUGCCAGCAGCCGCGGUAAUACGGAGGAUUCAAGCGUUAUCCGGAUUUAUUGGGUUUAAAGGGUGCGUAGACGGUCGGAUAAGUUAGAGGUGAAAUCCCGAGGCUCAACUUCGGAAUUGCCUUUGAUACUGUUCGGCUAGAGAGUAGUUGAGGUAGGCGGAAUGUAUGGUGUAGCGGUGAAAUGCUUAGAGAUCAUAAAGAACACCGAUUGCGAAGGCAGCUUACCAAGCUACUUCUGACGUUGAGGCACGAAAGCGUGGGGAGCAAACAGGAUUAGAUACCCGGGUAGUC